rnacentral:lncRNA from 1 species
AUUGUACAUCAGGGGCUGUUAUAGAUCGUUUCAUUUCAUGGCCAAACUCAUUCAAUACGAACAGAUCAAAACUCUGAGCACAUGAAUGCUUUGGAAUGGAAUUCACGGGUGCCUCAACUAAGUCUUGCCCAAGUAGUUCAGCUCAGAGUGGUCAGUGGCCCAGUUUCGUUUGGUUGAAGGUUCACAAUACAUUGUUGCGUUUGGCCACCAGAAGAAUACAGUUGUUAUUCUUGACAUGCAUGGAAGUUUUUAUAGAUGCCAAUUUGAUCCUACAACUGGUGGGGAGAUGACGCAACUGGAAUAUCGUAAUUUUGUGAAGCCUGAAGACUCUCUCUAAGCACUUGAAAAAACAUGAACAGAAGUAUGUUAUAUAUUCAUGGGCUGCCUGCAUAAAUGGUAAAUAAUUUUGUAAAUAUUUACUUAACUGUUGUGAACUUAUAUGCUGCUUUCUGACUUUAAAAAUGUGCAGUGCUUCCUUAAAGGUUCAAAAUCUCAUUGGUGUUUGUUUUCUUUGAGUGGAGAAGCUGCACGCGGGCUAUUAUAUCUACUAACAAAGGGCAGCCCUUUGUUGAUAAUUGGAUUCUGGCGAACUGAUUCGAGGUGUGUAUGUUAUCUCAGUAGAUCAACAUUACCUAUGACAACUGAGAGACACGAGGUGAGCCAUGGUCCCGUGGAUUUCCUUCCAAGAAGUGUGCUGCUCACCACAGAGAAAAAGUACUCAGUUUUUGGUUCCAUUUUGACAAUUGGAGCAAUGGUAGGAGCAUUCGUGCAUGGUAAAAUAGUAGAUCAACUUGGGCGGAGAAUGGUUUCUUGGUUGCUUGAUGUUGGACCACUAUUGAUUGGAUAUGGAAUUGAGGUACCAGUUUACAUAGCAGAACACCUCAAAACCUUCGCGGAGCUUUGACCAUUGUUAAUCAGCUGAUGAUAUGUGUUGGAGUAUCUGUAAUGUGGUUUAUUGGAACAUUCAUUCCUUGGCGCACCCUAGCUCUAAUUGGUAAAGUUGUUCAAAUUUCUACCAAUCUUGAAGAUAUACCAAUUUCAUAAUUUGUGGAGUUGGCAAAGUGGGCGGGCUACAGGUCAUUUGGGAGUGGAUAUUGGAUAUUGAUCGAUAAACUACAUUUUCUUCAUAGUGAGACAAACAUGUAUUCUGCUCUUUUAGUUUUGCUUGAAUCAUUUGAUAAUUGAGGUAAGUCAUUUCAUUAUUUUAUUUCAGUCGUUUGGAUGCAAGAUAACACAUGUUUUGGUAAGGAGAUAUUAUUCAGGGAUGAGCUCGGUACCAACUGGUACAGGUACCAAAAAUACUCGGUACGGUACGGUUCGGUACCGGCACAGACCAGUAUUUGAUGGUCAAAAUCGGUAAAUACCUGUAUCAAACUGGUACCGAAAACGCCCAUUGUCAGUACCGAAAACAUUUUGUUUCGGGAAAUUCGGUACCAGUAAGAGCAGUUGAAAAGGUUCACUAAAAGCUAUGAAGGUUGUUUACUAGAAUCUCCUGAUUCUUUUGAUGCAGAACACGGUGGAUGCAACAAUGAAGUGUAUUCUUAAUCAAGCGCAGCAAAAGCUUCUGGUAUUUGAGAAAUUCGAACAGUUGAGCAACAAAGUGAUGGAACAUGGUGAAUUUAGGAAAAACCAUUGUUUUCAUCAUUCAUCAACCAAGCGUAGACAUAUUUGAAGCUUUUGAUGAGUUUUGUAUUGUUUUUGAUGAAAAGAGGUGGAUAAGAGCUAUAAGUUGGAUCCGUUGAAUUAAUCAAAUACUUCAAGGUUUUCUGAAUGAUUAUCAUUACUGAUAUAUUAGAAGGUGUCCUAAUGAUCUGGUGCACUACAACUUCUAAAGUGUUCUUUUGUAUAAUCAAUACUUCAUGGUGGAAACCCAGUCAAUUGAAUCUUUGGUUUCCCAACACGCAAUAUCUGGUGACUCGGCCUUUUCUUUCACAAAGGUAAUUUUCAAAUUAGUUUUUGGUUCUUUCUUAUUGUGUGAGAUGCAAAUAGAAGGCGUAAAGAAUGAAGAUAACUUCUGGAAGUGGUGCAUGCAUUGUUAUACUUUAUAACUCUAUAAUUAGUACUUAAAAAUUGGUUAUCUAAAAAAGGAUGUUGAUGGAUAUGAGAUGCGAAUCAGGUUGUAAAUUGACACGAAUAGUAGAUGAGGGAGUUUCAUGAAUAUAGAGGAAGUGAUGCCAUAGAGGUUGUUGGUAGAACAAUAUAGCUUUAAGAAGUUGUAAAAUUGCCCGAGCCAUAGCCUUGAAUUGAGUUGCAUGAGUAUAGAGGAAGUGAUGCCAUAGAGGUAAUAUACAAGUAUUGAUCUUGAUAUGUUCAUGUAACAUGUUGCAUCACAUCUUUUACCAAAACUCCUUUUGACCCGCGCUGACAUGUCCAAGAAAAGAGAAUACAAAAACUAUUUUGCAGCCAACCUGUACACUUUUGAAC